rnacentral:rRNA from 1 species
UACAGAGGUCUCAAGCGUUGUUCGGAUUCAUUGGGCGUAAAGGGUGCGUAGGCGGCGCGGUAAGUCGGGUGUGAAAUCUCGGAGCUUAACUCCGAAACUGCAUUCGAUACUGCCGUGCUUGAGGACUGGAGAGGAGACUGGAAUUUACGGUGUAGCGGUGAAAUGCGUAGAUAUCAGGAGGAACACCGAUGGCGAAGGCAGGUCUCUGGGCCGAUACUGACGCUGAGGAGCGAAAGCGUGGGGAGCGAAC